GAAAGGAGAGAGGAUAGUCAUCAAAGAAUAUUGGCGGCGAUAGUGCGGUGGUACCACCUGAAACCAUACCGAACUCAGAAGUGAAAGGCCGUAAUGCCGAUGGUAGUGUGGGGCA
rnacentral:rRNA from 1 species